CCUACGGGAGGCAGCAGUGGGGAAUAUUGCACAAUGGGGGAAACCCUGAUGCAGCAACGCCGCGUGAGUGAUGACGGCCUUCGGGUGGGAAAGCUCUGUCUGCAGGGACGAGAAUGACGGUACCUGAGGAGGAAGCCACGGCUAACUACGUGCCAGCAGCCGCGGUAAUACGUAGGUGGCGAGCGUUGUCCGGAUUUACUGGGCGUACAGGGAGCGUAGGCGGCCUUUGACGUGAGAUGGGAAAUACUCGGGCUCAACGGGAGUGCUGCAUUUCAAACUGGAAGUCUAGAGUGCAGGAGAGGAGACUGGCAUUCCUAGUGUAGCGGUUAAAUGCGUAGUGCUUAGG
rnacentral:rRNA from 1 species